rnacentral:rRNA from 1 species
GAUGAACGCUAGCGGGAGGCUUAACACAUGCAAGUCGAGGGAUAGUUUCAGCAAUGGAACGAAAACCGGCGCACGGGUGAGUAACGCGUAUGCAACCUGCCCUUAACCGGGGGAUAGCCCGUCGAAAGGCGGAUUAAUACCCCAUAAUACUGUUGGACUGCAUGGUUUGACAGUUAAAGCUGAGGUGGUUAAGGAUGGGCAUGCGUGACAUUAGCUUGUUGGUAGGGUAACGGCCUACCAAGGCUACGAUGUCUAGGGGUUCUGAGAGGAAGGGCCCCCACACUGGUACUGAGACACGGACCAGACUCCUACGGGAGGCAGCAGUGAGGAAUAUUGGUCAAUGGGCGAGAGCCUGAACCAGCCAUCCCGCGUGCAGGAAGAAGGCCCUAUGGGUUGUAAACUGCUUUUGUGCAUGAAGAACAGCCCGAACGUGUUCGGGUCUGACGGUAAUGCGUGAAUAAGCACCGGCUAACUCCGUGCCAGCAGCCGCCGUAACAC